rnacentral:rRNA from 1 species
AUACGUAGGGGGCGAGCGUUGUCCGGAAUGAUUGGGCGUAAAGGGCGCGUAGGCGGCCCGGUAGUCUGGAGUGAAAGUCCUGUUUUUAAGAUGGGAAUUGCUUUGGAUACUGUCGGGCUUGAGUGCAGGAGAGGUAAGUGGAAUUCCCAGGGUAGCGGUGAAAGGCGUAGAGAUUGGGAGGAACACCAGUGGCGAAGGCGACUUACUGGACUGUAACUGACGCUGAGGCGCGAAAGUGUGGGGAGCAAACAGGAUUAGAUACCCUGGUAGUCCACACUGUAAACGAUGAAUGCUAGGUGUAGGGGGUAUCGACCCCUUCUGUGCCGCAGUCAACACAAUAAGCAUUCCGCCUGGGGAGUACGGCCGCAAGGUUGAAACUCAAAUGAAUUGACGGGG